rnacentral:piRNA from 1 species
UAGCAUCUAUAUUGAGAUUUCUAGUUCUCGU